GACGAACGCUGGCGGCGUGCUUAACACAUGCAAGUCGAACGGAAAGGCCCUGCUUUUGUGGGGUGCUCGAGUGGCGAACGGGUGAGUAACACGUGAGUAACCUGCCCUUGACUUUGGGAUAACUUCAGGAAACUGGGGCUAAUACCCGAUAGGAGCUCCUGCUGCAUGGUGGGGGUUGGAAAGUUUCGGCGGUUGGGGAUGGACUCGCGGCUUAUCAGCUUGUUGGUGGGGUAGUGGCUUACCAAGGCUUUGACGGGUAGCCGGCCUGAGAGGGUGACCGGCCACAUUGGGACUGAGAUACGGCCCAGACUCCUACGGGAGGCAACAGUGGGGAAUAUUGCACAAUGGGCGGAAGCCUGAUGCAGCAACGCCGCGUGCGGGAUGACGGCCUUCGGGUUGUAAACCGCUUUCGCCUGUGACGAAGCGUGAGUGACGGUAAUGGGUAAAGAAGCACCGGCUAACUACGUG
rnacentral:rRNA from 1 species